CUCUCCUUCCCUCUUCUCUUUCCUGUUUUUAAUUUGCUCUCUCUCCUCUUUAAACCCUAACACCGUCGGCGUCGCAGUUGUCCCCUUUCUCCACCUUAUCUACGGCCACCACCUCCAAUGAAAAAUCUAAACCAUUUUCGUACUCCUCUUCUCAGAUCUGUUCGUUGGUCUCAUAAAUUCAAAAUCACUCUCCCUCUCACCAAAUUCCCCAGAUCCACUUUUGCCCUGAAGUAUACCCUAGAAGUUGAGACGGUUAUUGGUUCUGAGCAUUAUUGUUUUGACCGAUCAGUAUUUGUUCAUUUGUUAUGAACGAUGUUGUUGCAAGCAUGGUUAUGCGAUUUAGAAGUUGUUAUGAGUGCGUUUGUUGCCGCUACAGUCCGUGUCAGCCUUCUCCAACAUAUUGAUCAAUCCAGAGAGUCAUUAUCAGCUCAAGUUGUUGAUGAGCAGGUAGAGAUGACAAAGGUGAAUAUGGAAGUAAUCAGGCCAUGGACCAGAAAAGUGACUGAACUUUUUUGGGUUUGCAAUUUUGUGCAGUCAGAUGCAUCUAUUGUAGUGAAUCUCUUCAAACUUUCAAAUAAUGUUACUAAAUUAUUUUGAGGGAAAAAGAAAAUAAUAGAUGUUGGUAAAGCUAAUUGGCAUAAGGCCUAGAAACCUAUUUUCCCUCUAUUGGCUGUAAAAAUGGAAAAGAUGAUUUUACAAUCAAACUUUCAGUGUCAUAUUCAUACUUUCUCUGAAAUGACUAGAUGAUAAAAGUUUAUAUCAUUGAAUAAUAUUGUUUCAGGUCUUCAAAUACAUCAAGCACUGGAGAGUUUGCGACAAGUGUGUAAAUCACUUUGGUCUUCAUUGCCGAUGGCUCAACAACUAGCUAUGAUUGUUACUUUACCUGUUGUUCUGCUUUUCUUCUUUCAUAUCCUUCUCAUUAAAAAGGGACUCAACACAUAUGAUUAAAUUGUAGCUAUGAGGGAGCUGGAGCAAGAGCAGGAACAAUAGCUAGGAGUUGGAGGCCAGCAAAGUCCCCAAAUGUCAACCAUUAGCUCAUUUACUAGGUUGAGCAGUGAGCCUUAGGAAUUACAACUUGCAAGGACCAAUUCAUGAUUUAAGCUUGAUACCGAACCUUCUUCUUUAUAUGUAAGUUAUACAUUAAGAGAAGUGAUUGUUUGUGACAAGGUAAAAAAAUUUUGUAUAUUUUUGAAAUAAAGUCUAAUGUGAACUCUAAUUGCACUUAUCAUCCACUAAUUACUGUCAAAUUUUCAGUGACCUUAGCUCCAAUCAAUUGAAUGAAUCAAUUCCUCCUAAUAAGCUUGCUCAAAAUAUCACAAUUGUGUAAGAUUCAGAAGGACUAUUCUACCGCUUUACGGCCUCGCUGUAGAGUGUCUGUUUGUGGUGCGGUCUCUAGAUAUAUUGGUACUGGGAAUAGAUCAUCACCAAAUAUGAUGGACGUUGUGUAUAAGAGAAUCACCAUCAGAUGAUUUUUGGCUACUGACUUUUUGAAUGUUUUUGCUGAAUUUUCUGCUAAAACAUUGGAUUAUCUUUGCAAUGGCUAGUUAGAGGUGAUUGAAGACAAGUCAUUGGGUGUAGAGAACAUCUCUUCUGCUGGUUUGAUGUUUUAAGGGGAAGUAGGAAGUUCCCAUAGUGGGAUGUUUGACGAUUUUCUCACGUUUUCAGCUUUGUUUCGAGUGUAAAGCACUACAUAAUGAUAUUUGGUUAGAGAAAUAACUCUUGUCCUUA